rnacentral:rRNA from 1 species
UACGUAGGGUGCAAGCGUUGUCCGGAAUUAUUGGGCGUAAAGAGCUCGUAGGCGGCCUGUCACGUCGACUGUGAAACCCAGGGCUCAACCCUGGGCCUGCGGUCGAUACGGGCAGGCUGGAGUUCGGUAGGGGAGACUGGAAUUCCUGGUGUAGCGGUGAAAUGCGCAGAUAUCAGGAGGAACACCGGUGGCGAAGGCGGGUCUCUGGGCCGAUACUGACACUGAGGCGCGACAGCGUGGGGAGCAAACAGG